UGCCUUAUGAUCUAGUGGUUAGGAUGUUGGACAAAUGAUCAGAAGACCCAGGUUCGAUUCCUGGUACUGUUA
rnacentral:tRNA from 1 species